CUAUGAUCCUAUUUUGAUCAACAAAACGGCUCUAAAACUAAGUCACUGAUCUUGUGCCCGUGUUGUGAGCCUACACAGGAAGCAAAGCAAAUGCCUCAAACCCCGCCCCUGCUUGUGUUCCCACAAUGCCUUGUUUUCAGUUCAAACAGAUGCCUGUCCAGUGUGACGGCCCAGGGCAGGGAUGCUGCAUGAAACCUGAGGCUGAGCAGACAAGCCGCUGGGUCCUGGACUUGCUAAUGCGCAGAAAUCCCAGGGUUUACUCAGCUGGGCCAGCUGAAAGAUGACCUGCACUAACACUGGGAUCCAUUACUCCUGCCUUCAUCCCCAUCGCCAAUCCAACCUAAUAAGAUACAGACUGUUGCCAGUCAGCUGGUCAUGCUGCAGGGUGCCAGCUUCUCAUUGAGGUUAAAAGGCUGAGUAUUAAUUAAAAGCUGCGUGUUUUGAUUCCUGGCACCAACAAGAGGAUGGAUUCCAGCUGUUAGUUGGCCAC